GUGUGUGCGUGUUUGUUUGUGAUUGUCCNNGUGUGUGUGUUUCUUUGUUUGUUUGUGCGUGUCUAAUAGGUUGUGUUUGUUUCUUUGUGUAUGUGUGAGUGAAUGCGUAUGGGUGUAUUGGUGUGUUCUCCUGUAGAUAAUGAUUGUGUGUGUAACUUAUAUGUGUGUGCGUGUCUCUUUGUGUGUGUCUCCGUGUGUGUUUUUUUGUUUGUUUGGUGUGUGUUCUACUGUAGAUAAUGAUUGUGUGUGUAACUUAUAUGUGUGUGUGCGUGUCUCUUUGUGUGUGUGUCCGUGUGUGUUUGUGAGUAUGUGUUUUUCUAUGUGGGUGUGUGUGCUUGUGUAACUUAUGUGCAUUUGUGUGUGAAUGUGUGUGUCCUGAUCAUGUGGUAAUGUGGUAAAGAUAGGCACAAAGUUCCACCGAGUUAGACAAUUUCCUCAGCUUAUCGCACACGUGGCUGANGGAAUUAUAGCUUCACGAUCUAUCUCUCACCGAUUAAAGAAGUUAAAAUAUGUUUUUUUUCUUCCUGCGUAAGUGUUUUUUAGUGGGAUACAGGUUAUUAAGAACAUACCGGAAUCGAUAAAUAAUGCUGGACUGCAAGAUAUAUUCAAGAAAUAUGGAAAUAUUUUGUCCAGCAAAGUUGUCAGGAAGAGUAAAGGAUACGGUUUUGUUCAAUUUGAAUCGGAGGAAUCCUCUCAUGUUGCUAUAGAGAAGUUGAAUGGCUCUACUGUUGGUGAUAAACAGUUGUAUGUGAAAUUCUGCAUUGUAUGAUCAGUUAAUGUCUGUAAUUUACAUUCAAUUUCUGUAUGCAUAUUAUUUUUGUGAUGUUAAUUAUCACCUGGUUAUGACGCUUGGCCAGAUAUGUCGGGAAGUUUGUAAAAUAAAGUGAUCGCAUAUUUCUUGGCACGGAUGCUAGAUAUACAAACUUGUACAUGAAGAAUUUGGACUUGGAUAUUACAGAAGCAAAAUUGAAGGAGAAGUUUUCCUCUUUCGGGAAAAUUGUUAGCUUGGCUAUUGCAAAGGACCACAAUGGGAUGCCCAAGGGUUUUGGCUUUGUGAANUAUGAUAACCCAGAUGAUGCUAAAAAGGCAAUGGAAGGAAUGAAUGNAUCACAAUUAGCCAGAGCGCAAAAGAAAGCUGAGCGCGAGCAGAUCUUGCACCAGCAAUUUCAGGCGAAACGGAAGGAACAAAUAUUGAAAUACAAGGUGAUUUUCUAUGCCAUUCUCACAUAUUAAACUUGUCACUUCUGUUNUAGUUGUGUUAGAGUGUCAACAUUUAACUCCAGGGGUCGAAUGUUUAUAUGAAAAAAUUCAUUACAAUGUAAGUGACGAAGAACUGAGGGAUCUUUUCAGUGCAUGUGGCAUCAUAACUUCUGCAAAAGUUAUGCAAGAUGACAAAGGAAUAUGUAAAGGGUUUGGCUUUGUCAACUUCUCCACUUCUGAGGAGGCUAAUAAAGCCGUGAACACUUUUAANGGUAAGCAAGUUAAGUCGAUUAUGAGAUUGGUUCUACUCUAGUGUUUAGAUAAAUAUUCCAGCCCGUCUUAUGGAAUAGGAAUGCAAGUGCUUGCUUAUAUUUAUUGGAGUU